rnacentral:rRNA from 1 species
UGGGGAAUAUUGCACAAUGGGCGAAAGCCUGAUGCAGCGACGCCGCGUGAGCGAAGAAGUAUUUCGGUAUGUAAAGCUCUAUCAGCAGGGAAGAUAAUGACGGUACCUGACUAAGAAGCACCGGCUAAAUACGUGCCAGCAGCCGCGGUAAUACGUAUGGUGCAAGCGUUAUCCGGAUUUACUGGGUGUAAAGGGAGCGCAGGCGGUGCGGCAAGUCUGAUGUGAAAGCCCGGGGCUCAACCCCGGUACUGCAUUGGAAACUGUCGUACUAGAGUGUCGGAGGGGUAAGCGGAAUUCCUAGUGUAGCGGUGAAAUGCGUAGAUAUUAGGAGGAACACCAGUGGCGAAGGCGGCUUGCUGGACGAUAACUGACGGUGAGGCGCGAAAGUGUGGGGAGCAAACAGGAUUAGAUACCCUGGUAGUCCACACUGUAAACGAUGAAUACUAGGUGUGCGGGGACUGACCCCCUGCGUGCCGCAGUAAACACAAUAAGUAUUUCACCUGGGGAGUACGAUCGCAAGGUUGAAACUCAAAGGAAUUGACGGGGGCCCGCACAAGCGGUGGAUUAUGUGGUUUAAUUCGAAGCAACGCGAAGAACCUUACCAGGGUUUGACAUCCUGCUAACGAAGUAGAGAUACAUUAGGUGCCCUUCGGGGAAAGCAGAGACAGGUGGUGCAUGGUUGUCGUCAGCUCGUGUCGUGAGAUGUUGGGUUAAGUCCCGCAACGAGCGCAACCCUUAUCUUUAGUAGCCAGCGGUUCGGCCGGGCACUCUAGAGAGACUGCCAGGGAUAACCUGGAGGAAGGCGGGGAUGACGUCAAAUCAUCAUGCCCCUUAUGACUUGGGCUACACACGUGCUACAAUGGCGUAAACAAAGGGAAGCAAAGCUGUGAAGCCGAGCAAAUCUCAAAAAUAACGUCUCAGUUCGGACUGUAGUCUGCAACCCGACUACACGAAGCUGGAAUCGCUAGUAAUCGCAGAUCAGAAUGCUGCGGUGAAUACGUUCCC